UACGGGGGGGGCAAGCGUUGUUCGGAAUUACUGGGCGUAAAGGGUGCGUAGGCGGCCUGGUAAGUCUGGCGUGAAAGCCCAGGGCUCAGCCCUGGAAGGGCGCUAGAAACUGCGAGGCUCGAGUGCCGGAGGGGAGAGUGGAAUUCCUGGUGUAGCGGUGAAAUGCGUAGAUAUCUGGAGGAAUACCGGUGGCGAAGGCGGCAUCCUGGACCGAAACUGACGCUGAGGCGCGAAAGCUAGGGGAGCAAACGGG
rnacentral:rRNA from 1 species